GAUUUCAACUAAAAAAGUCAUCAACAACAAAGUUAUAUAACUCAUCAAGAUCUAUAACGUUUAUUUUGGUCAUUUCUUCAUCCGACAAAGUGUUAGUAAUAUUAUUCACAAAAUUGAUAUAUCUGUGUUAUAGUUUAUAAAACCAGAUAAGAGAUAUGUGAAUUUUGUGAACAAUGUUACUAUCNNNNNUGUGUUAUAGUUUAUAAAACCAGAUAAGAGAUAUGUGAAUUUUGUGAACAAUGUUACUAUCGCUUUAUCGGAUGAAGAAAUGACCAAAAUAAAAGUUAUAAAUCUUGACGAGUUAUACAACUUUAUUAUUGAUGACUUUUUCAGUUGAAAUC
rnacentral:pre_miRNA from 1 species